UGAACAGCAAACCUAAUGGAACUCUUAAUAAUAAGAUUCAAUUAGGACAAGAGAAAUCUCCUUCAUCAGCAUAUACUUCUUAGAACUUAGCUUAGAAAUCGAAUCAUAGCAUGUUCUUUCUCGGUGGUUUGUCAUCAGGUUGAGGAUAUAAUGUCUUUAUUCAAUCAUGUAAUAUGGUAUUCUUGAUGACUAUCUACAUCUUUUCCACUAGUGCUUGGAGGACAGUAUGCUUAUUGGAGGGCUUUGCUAUGCAUGGAGGAAAAAGAUAGGCCUUUUCUCAUCAGAACACAAUGUUGUGGAUUCAUCAGCCAUCACCAUGGGCAGCUUUAGAGCAAGAACACAUGCAAACAGCUACUGCAGCUGCCUUCGUGUUGCUUUGUUGGAGCGGAGUGGAGUGAGAGGACCACUAAAACUCCAUGGUGGAAGGGAAGAAAAGCUAACCAGUCUGAAGCAGAAACUUACUAGCUUUAAAGUACUGUAUGUGCUAAGCCCAUUAUAGCCAUGGAAAUGCUUGCUGUGCUCUCAAAUUCUCGGUAUAAUCAUUAAAACAAAGACUUGAUCGAUCCCUACACGUCUCCAACUCACUCACUCACCUCUCUUUCUUGAUUGAGAUGUAAAGAUCUGUUGGAAGCAGCACUGCUGUUGAUCCCAUUCUAGUGAGGGCUGUGCUCUCUGGUGGCAGAUGAAUUAGGAUAACAAGAUCUUGCUUUCACAGAUAUGGGAUGACAAAGUGCAUUCAUUGGUGACAGUUCUCCACAAUCUUCUUUUGGGGGAAAGAGCCAUUUGAAUGGGUGCAUGGUGAUCAUUUGAGGAUUGAAGAAACAACAUGAAGAGAAAGGGACAAAGAUUGGGAGUGGACACACUGCAAUGGAGCAAUUGGGAGAAAUACUUCAGCUUGAUCUUACUAAAAGAAAAGCAAACUUUCUUUGUGGCACUUUGAGAUUUGAUUAAAACAGGUUGGAGAGGCCUUACUCGACUCCCACUGAAAGAACAUGAAUGCUUUGUCAUAUGCUUUCCACCUUGGUGAUGGUAUUGAUGUGGUGGUGCCUAUAAUGGAGCUUUAUGGUGUUGACAUGGCACCCAUGUAGUGAUGUAGACGAUAGUGUAUCUCCAAUAAUUGACCUACAUUAUCUUAAAAAAAA
rnacentral:lncRNA from 1 species